UAAACUUAAUUUACCUUGGGCACUGAGAGUUUUCAGAUCAGCUUAGAAUAUUUUCUUAAGUGUCUGAGGUUGGAUUUUUGAGCCUUAGUAGUUGGGACCCCCAACUUAUGCAGUUUUUGGUUUUCUUGUUUGUUUUUUGCUGUUUAAUCAAACACAUCCAUAAGAAGGCCUCCUUCAGGCCUAAUCUGGAGCAAACUCCUCUUGGAGAAGCUGCCGCUGUCCUUUCUUCACCUAGAAUACCAGAGUGCAGAAGAAGCCCAGCUUCUCAUCGUCUAAGAAUCAGCUAACAUUCUACUGUGUGCCACGGUUACAUUUCUGUCAAGUCCACAGUAGGCAUGGUCAGACUGAGAGGCUCACACCUAAGUGUUCCAAGCCACAAGAACCUUCUUUUUUUUCUUCCCACUGUGACGGAAACAAUGAGGUUUCAACAACAGCCCUCUUAUUGUUCCCGGGACAGCCCUUGAAGCUGCUAUAGCUAGAAGACUAAAAAUAGAUAUUGAAUAGGCAAAAGAAAGAAGAAAGCAAAGGCAGCGGGGAGCAAAAAAGAACAAGACACCAAACCGCAGCAAUAAAAGCUCCCCAUAAAGUAAAAGAACAUUAUGCAUUUGUAUAUUUUGAAAAUGUAGCCAAGCUAAGUCAUUAAACGAGGAUUUUUGUUUCACAAAGUCUGCAAACUAUUUCAGCCACUGGCCCCACUGUAACUAGAGAUUAGUGCCAAACAAAAUAUGUCAAGAUAGUAGUACUCAAUA